UAUAAUCAAACAGAUAAGCGAAAAUAUCUAGAAAUUAACUAAAAGUGGAAACUUUGACCCAAGAAAAAAAUAAAAAAUAAUACUACAAGUGGAAACUUUGAACCCCAAAAAAAAAAAAAAUUUAAGUCAAACAUAUAAAAUCAUGAAAAAGAAAGAGAUCAUAUUGUGUGAUUAUAUAACAUUCUAAUGAAGCGUGUGGGUUAUGUUAAAAGUCCG
rnacentral:lncRNA from 1 species